rnacentral:rRNA from 1 species
UACGUAGGGUGCAAGCGUUGUCCGGAAUUAUUGGGCGUAAAGAGCUCGUAGGCGGUCUGUCGCGUCGGAUGUGAAAAUCCAGGGCUCAACCCUGGACCUGCAUUCGAUACGGGCAGACUAGAGUUCGGUAGGGGAGACUGGAAUUCCUGGUGUAGCGGUGAAAUGCGCAGAUAUCAGGAGGAACACCGAUUGCGAAGGCAGCUCGCUGGGACGUGACUGACGCUGAGACGCGAAAGCGUGGGGAGCAAACAGG